AAAAUGUUUACACCCUUCUUACAAUACAACAAAUUUUGUAGUGAUUUUGCAUGUUAUACUCUAUAAAAGUUCAUCAUCGAAUAUCCGAGCUAAAACGAUAUAGUUUUAAAAGUAUGCCAAAUCUACCACUGUCUGCAAACUACCUACUACCAGCAAUAAGUACAAAAAGAAAAGUCUUAUUAACAAAAAUCAAAAGAUCUAGUUUUCGUUUGUCAGCAUCUACAAACAAUACAGACAUCAUAUGGUUUACAUGUAGACUUAGGUCCAGCCCAAGGUAAAGACUGCAAAAAUAAAGUCUUUGACAUCCACACGAGCUUGGCCAUCCCCAUUACAAUAUUCCAUCACAGGUGAUUAAGCGAUGCGUCAUGCAGUGAAGCCACGGCUAUAAAUUUGGGCUGUUUAUAGUGCUACAAAGCGGCCUAAACUGUAAGCAACUUAAUGGUAUUUUUUUUUUUUUUCCAGAAUAGAUGCUAUCAUAAAAAGGCACAAAUAUCUUACUCCUUGCAUCGGGUCUUGUUAAAAGGCAUGACAUUCUUAGGAGAAAUAAGGAUUGCUGGUACGACAGCUUAGCUUUUAUUUAUUUAUUUGUAAAUGUCUAGGCUCAUCUCCACAGCUGCUUCUCUUCCAAGACUUUAAACUUGUGUUUUUUACAUACUUCAACAGGUGCUCUGUUGCACAUCGAGCAACGUCUUGACGCUUAAACUAUCUCAUCACCGACUCUGAAACCCCUUCUGUCAGUCAUGUUGCCACCGACAGCCAGGGCUGCCUGUUUCCUCGCUGGGAAGAGGGGAGCUCCUCACCUAAAAUUAGCUUUUGCAUCUCCCGACAGCGCUCACGCUCACGGGUGGUGACUCCACCGCUGCCGCCUUGGAAGGCGGGGUGGAAAGGGACGUCACACGCACUGAGGGGGCUGGUGCUGUGCGUCUUUAAGGGAGAGUCCAUGGCAAAAUGAGAAGAAGAGAAAUAAGGCAAGGAGGCUGUUUCGAUCACAGAGAAGGCAAGACAUCAAUUCUUAAGAAGGUCAGAGGCAUGAUUGACAAUUACGUGAAUGACUCAUAAGGUGAAAUGAUGCAAAGACUGAGCAGGAUGAGAGUAAAAAAAGAAAAAUCUUUUCCAGGCCAAUACAGCUCUGUCUACACGAGACAACAAAUGGUUUAAAAAUAGAGCCACCAAUCAGUUGCUCUGACUAGCCAGCUGCCGAUAACUCCCUCCGCCUGCACCGAAUCGACCCGUCACUCUGACAUCACGUGCAUGGCCCAUAUUAAGAAAAAGUUCCAUAAACUAUGUAAUAACCUCCUAUGCAAAGUCAGCAGAGGUACACAAACUUCAGCCUUGCUUUCAACAUUUUUCAGGGGGUAACACUGACUAUUUAAGCACAAAUUUGAUGGAAAAAUGGAUAAGGGACAAAUGACAGGAGAACGAGGCCCCGAGGUGAAGUCACCGGCUGCCACGGGCCGGACAAUGUUCCCGACUGGGCUCUGGACUCGCCCUGGGGAAGGGGGUGUGCUCCGCUUCUCCACAACCUGACUGAAGAGGUCAUGGGAGUUUCCUGGGCAAUUUCAGUUCUGAGCAAAGACUAUCGGCCCUCUGUGCAAUCUGCUAUUUUAAAGAUGAUUUUCUUCACAGUCCUUUAUUAGACAAUCUGCUUCCAGAAACGAUGAACUGUUCCUGAAUCAAGAAGUGGCAUCAAAACCAGCAUGUUUUGUUUCUGUUGAGUGAUUAAGGAGAACAUUAAGAUCUACAGUUUAAAAAUACCAAUUAAAGAAGGUUUUUUCAAACGACCAUUACUAUCUUAGGGUUUCCCAUUAAUUAGCUGAAUUCUGGGCACUUGAAUUCCUGUUCAUGGAAAGCUACCCAGAAUUUGGUUUGCUUCAUUUAUGAAGCGUUUUGAUGAGAUUCUGGGCACCAUACAGAUUUGAAAACGAGCUAGUAAUAAACUAAAUACUUUUUUUCUUAAAUUUGUUACGACUCCAUGGUUUUAAUUCAGUAUCUGCUGAUGACACAUCCUCAUCUUACUAUUUAAAAUGUUCAACGUAAUAAAAGAAGAUGGAAGGUUUAAAAUUUUUCUUUUUAUUAAACUUCUGAAUCCUUUUGUUGUGAAGCCAAAAAUAUCCUAGCAUCUAUAAUUGAUUAUACUCUAAAAGGAAAGAACACAGAUAUUAGUUAUUUCUGAUGGUGCAGACCAUCAAAUUAAAGUUGAUCUAUGCUACUGGAAAGUCCUUCUAGAUUUGGAAAGUAAAUCAUUUUCCUAUAUACUCAGAGCAUCCUGAAGGACAAACCGAGAAAUAUGGGGAUUCUUGGUUUUAUUUAUUCACUUUCUUCAUUAUGUCUAAUGAAACUUCAUCACGCCAGGUCUCCCUUAUCAUUCUCUUAGAUUGAAAAAGUGGAGGCUCCUGAAAAAUGUAAUACCCUUCUAAUAUUUUUUAGACUUUCAUUUGCACAUAAAACAGGACAAAUGCCCCAGAAUUCCAUUAAUGUUUCUUGCAAAUCAGAUAAUCAAAUUGCCCGGAUUUCUAUUACUGGAAGUCAAGACAAGUAACUCUGCUGUCAAGAGAAAUUGGCAGAGGUCGUUUCUUCCACACCUAGACUAGAUUUUCACCCGACCUCCCUUUUCUAAAAUUAUGCAGUAUAAUGUGUAUCUCCUGGACAGAUCUGUUCCUUGGACUGGAUUUUUUUUUAUUUUUUAAUUUUUUAUGAUUGUGCUGCAGGAGUUAAGAUAAGUCUCCUAAGCAUCAUCUUGAAUCGUUGAACUUCUCAUGCAUCAAGCUAAUUGAAGGCAGGCAUAUAUAGUCAUAGCUUGAUUCUUAAAAGUACAUUCCACUUCUUCUUUAAAAAUACAUUAACCGUUAAGAGGUAGACUCUCCCUUGAAGUCAAACAGUAAACAGAAGUUAUGCUGCUAGUCCCUUUAAAACAAAUUUAAAUGAGGAAGAGUUUUCUACAAGUUUACACCAUCUAGCUUAUCGUGGUCAUUAACUUUCAUCACAGAGUCAGGAAGAACAUUUACAGAUUACAGAGUUGAGAGAAGAGAGCCAGCCUGAGCGUGUGGGCUGUCAUCCCCCCUACAACAUUUUAAAGCAGGUACCUCGUAGAUACCAGAGUUAAGGGACUCUCGGUAACUUUUCCUCAGAAGGAGAGGAUUCUCUCACUACUUAGAGAGACAGGCUCUUGCAAAGACAUCUGAAUGUGUAGGGGCUCAUGUGUCAUAUAUAACAUACUGUGAACCUAUAUCUUAUACAACCAUGAGGCCAUGAAUCAUGUUCUCAGCGUGUUCUGAACAAAAUGAGUGGAAAAGAAGGCUUGUAAGAAUUUAUAUAACCUCUUUUUUGCAACUCACCCACAGACUAUAAAAGAUGCAUCUAACAGUGAACAAAUGCCUUUUCAAGUCCUGAGGCUGACAUGCCAAUUAGUGCAGUGUAAUCUGAAUCAAACCUGUCCAUUUUAACACAUUGCCGAGAAGGUACCGAGAUUCUGGUUUGACAUCUCCAGGAAAGCCAUGGAGCAGUUAUCUAAAGGACAUUUUCAUUACUAUUAUCUCCCAGAGCUUAAUUUAGAAGGUCUCCUAGACCUGUUUUCCUUCUUAAGGGGGGAGAGUGUGUGAGAGAGAGAGACAGAGAGAGAGAGAGAAAACAAGACUUAAAGAGAAGUUCUAAAAUUAUGUGUGGCCUGCCUUCCUUUUAUAUACUUAAAAAAUAACGAAAAAUGAUCGCCUUGAGAAGGGCAACAGCCCACUCCAUGGAGGAGGUCAAGCCUCUAAUACAAAAGGCUCCGUCCUUUGGAUACAGGAGGCAUCCGCUUCAAACAAAAUCAUAAACAGGCAACAAGGAAGUGUGUUAUUUUAAAGGGACUCACUCUCUCAGCUGCUAUGUAUAGCACUUAUCCUGCCUGUGGCAGAAAAGCAGGUGAUGGAGGUUUCAUUUGGAACCAGAAGGGCUUGCAAUAGGUACUUCUCCCUAAUCACUUCUUUAAGAGAGUUUAAAAUGAAGGACACUUAAUCAUACUCUUACUUUAUGUUCUUUUAAUCACCAAAUGAUGGUUAAUUAGUUAUCAUAGAAUCGGAAAAACACUUGUGUGAAAGGAGAGUUCUGGAGGCUGAUGGUUUGUAGGACUGGGCACCUGCAAAGAGCUCAUUUCAAUUUCUCUGAGAGGAAUCAAUAUACACUUGCAGCUAAUUAAUGAUUUUUCUCUUUUCAAUCCCCAAAGUUUUUUAAGAUGGUCCUUUGUCAGAAGGGAACUAAAAGGAUUUUUUAUAGAUGGGCUGUGUCUCAAUUCCUUUGAAAUCUAGCUUUUUCCCCUAAGAAAUGACUGAGAAUAUAUGACAUGUGGAUUAGAUCACUGCCUGGCCAGGUUGCUAAUCCUAAACACGUUCAAAGUAAAACACUGUUUCUGCCUUCAACAUCAACCUUUGCAGCACACAAGUGAACAAAAAAAAUGGAAACAUUUCCCCCUAUUUUCCUGGGGUACGGAUCACAUGGAUCUGAGAUGACAAUGUGCUGCUGCUAGUGGUAAGGAGACGCUACAUGAGCAGCAGGGUCUCGCUGAUUCCUGAGACAGUCUGAGGAAAACGAGGGCCCAAGAGGCCCCGGUACAUGGGAAGACAGCACCGUUGCACGAGCCACCUGUCAUUCAUUCUGGGCCUAAAACACGUGGCCAGAACCAAACAGAAGCCCUCGCUACAAACAGGGAGGAGCGUGAGAAGUCGUGAAUAGAGAACAGCUACGGAGGGCCUGAAGCGAUGGCCUGUUUUGGGCUAAACUCAGUGACCGUGGGGACAGGCCGAGAGGCAGGCAGAUGCCUCACCAGUACGAGGAGGCACGGAAGCAUGCGGCCUUCCCCGGGCACCCAGACACCAGGGAAUCAUUGACAGUGGCGACAGGUUUGGUGGGAAAACUGUGAAGGUCACAGAUGUGCGUCAUCUUUUGGUGAAAUAAGACAGAAAGGGCCGCCCAUGC
rnacentral:lncRNA from 1 species